AUUGAACGCUGGCGGAAUGCUUUACACAUGCAAGUCGAACGAUGAACCUUAGCUUGCUAGGGGGAUUAGUGGCGAACGGGUGAGUAACAUAUCGGAACGUACCUAGUAAUGGGGGAUAACUAGUCGAAAGAUUAGCUAAUACCGCAUACGCCCUGAGGGGGAAAGUAGGGGAUCUUCGGACCUUACGGUAUUAGAGCGGCCGAUAUCUGAUGAGCUAGUUGGUGGGGUAAAGGCCUACCAAGGCGACGAUCAGUAGCCGGUCUGAGAGGACGACCGGCCACACUGGAACUGAGACACGGUCCAGACUCCGACGGGAGGAAGCAGUGGUGAAUUUUGGACAAUGGGGGCUACCCUGAUCCAGCCAUACCGCGUGAGGGAAGAAGGCCUUCGGGUUGUAAAGCUCGUUCGCAAGGGAAGAAAACUUACAUUCUAAUAAAGUGUGAGGCUGACGGUACCUUGAUAAGAAGCACCGGCUAACUACGUGCCAGCCGCCGCCGUAA
rnacentral:rRNA from 1 species